UGGAGAGUUUGAUCCUGGCUCAGGAUGAACGCUAGCUACAGGCUUAACACAUGCAAGUCGAGGGGCAUCAGUUUGGUUUGCUUGCAAACCAAAGCUGGCGACCGGCGCACGGGUGAGUAACACGUAUCCAACCUGCCUCAUACUCGGGGAUAGCCUUUCGAAAGAAAGAUUAAUACCCGAUGGCAUAGUUCUUCCGCAUGGUAGAACUAUUAAAGGAUUUCGGUCAUCGAUGGGGAUGCGUUCCAUUAGGUUGUUGGCGGGGUAACGGCCCACCAAGCCUUCGAUGGAUAGGGGUUCUGAGAGGAAGGUCCCCCACAUUGGAACUGAGACACGGUCCAAACUCCUACGGGAGGCAGCAGUGAGGAAUAUUGGUCAAUGGACGAGAGUCUGAACCAGCCAAGUAGCGUGAAGGAUGACUGCCCUAUGGGUUGUAAACUUCUUUUAUACGGGAAUAAAGUGAGGCACGUGUGCCUUUUUGUAUGUACCGUAUGAAUAAGGAUCGGCUAACUCCGUGCCAGCAGCCGCGGUAAUACGGAGGAUCCGAGCGUUAUCCGGAUUUAUUGGGUUUAAAGGGAGCGUAGGCGGACGCUUAAGUCAGUUGUGAAAGUUUGCGGCUCAACCGUAAAAUUGCAGUUGAUACUGGCAGUCUUGAGUACAGUAGAGGCAGGCGGAAUUCGUGGUGUAGCGGUGAAAUGCUUAGAUAUCACGAAGAACUCCGAUUGCGAAGGCAGCUCACUGGACUGUAACUGACGCUGAUGCUCGAAAGUGUGGGUAUCAAACAGGAUUAGAUACCCUGGUAGUCCACACAGUAAACGAUGAAUACUCGCUGUUUGCGAUAUACAGUAAGCGGCCAAGCGAAAGCGUUAAGUAUUCCACCUGGGGAGUACGCCGGCAACGGUGAAACUCAAAGGAAUUGACGGGGGCCCGCACAAGCGGAGGAACAUGUGGUUUAAUUCGAUGAUACGCGAGGAACCUUACCCGGGCUUAAAUUGCAAAUGAAUUAUGGGGAAACCCAUAGGCCGUAAGGCAUUUGUGAAGG
rnacentral:rRNA from 1 species